CCCAGAAUAGUGGGUGAGGUGGUUACAGCGUCCGACUGUUAUGGUCUCAACUUUUGUUAUAUUUCAAUUGGAAGGUCGUGAGUUCAAGCCUUACUGGGG